AGGAGCAGCGGAGGAGGAGGAGGAGCAUUCUGGGUGUUUUCAGCUGCAGAAGGAGAUCAACAUGGAGUCUGUGAGCAGGAGGAACAUGGACAGGAUUUACUCUGCGGUCCUGCUGGCCGUGGUGGUGCUGUCCUGGUCCUACGUGAUCUACGCCAGCAGGAUUGCUGCCUCCUGGCUGCUGGAGAGGAGGACCGCGCUGCUGCAGGAGGACUGACGCUGCCGCCGUUCUGGUUCUGGACCAGAAGCCACCAGCUGGUUCUGAAGGAACCAACGGGAGGGUUCUGUUUGUCUGGCCUGAGCAGGUCCAGACCCACAGCGAUGAGCAGACCCUCUGCGUGGAGACUCAGGGUUCUGGACCAGUUGUUCCUGUGGACGUGUCUUUGUUUCAGAUUCCCCUUCAGUGCAGAUAAAGAACCCGUUCUCCUCCAGGAGGAGAACCAGCCUGCUGCUGGUGGACUCUGACCCAAAGCGUGGCCCCCGGGGGCCGACUGUGGCUCCUGGACUGAUUCUGAGCGGUCCUCCUGCUGAGGUCCAGGUGGUCGCCUCAGAUGGAGGCUUUAUUUCACAGAUGAGUUAAAAUGAUGAUGCUGUCAGGAUAAAUAACUAAGAGCUCAGACAGGACGUGACGCGCUGCAGAUGUUCUUAUACAUGUUUAAAAAACGAAUAAAAGCCAAAAGAUGCUGAAGAAAGUC